rnacentral:misc_RNA from 1 species
GGAAUAUGAGGAGGAGAAGAAGAAAGAAGAGGCAAAUAGACAAAACAGCUAACAGCAAGAAAACAAUUGCAUAUGACCACCAUGGCUUUGAUAGGUGAGAUAUCAAGAAUUGAAUAUAUAAGGUGCCAGUCCAAAGAGAAAAGGCUGUUUCCGAGCAAAGAUACCACCAAAACCAGCAAUGGUUACCCUGUCCUACGCAUGAGCCAAGCCAAACACAGU